rnacentral:rRNA from 1 species
CUCAGUCUGUUAGCAUAUAUACGGUGAAACUGCGAAUGGCUCAUUAAAUCAGUUAUCGUUUAUUUGAUAGUACCUUACUACUUGGAUAACCGUGGUAAUUCUAGAGCUAAUACAUGCUAAAAACCCCGACUCCGGGAGGGGUGUAUUUAUUAGAUAAAAAACCAACGCCCUUCGGGGCUCCUUGGUGAUUCAUAAUAACUAAACGAAUCGCAUGGCCUUGCGCCGGCGAUGGUUCAUUCAAAUUUCUGCCCUAUCAACUUUCGAUGGUAGGAUAGUGGCCUACCAUGGUAUCAACGGGUAACGGGGAAUUAGGGUUCUAUUCCGGAGAGGGAGCCUGAGAAACGGCUACCACAUCCAAGGAAGGCAGCAGGCGCGCAAAUUACCCAAUCCCGACACGGGGAGGUAGUGACAAUAAAUACUGAUACAGGGCUCUUACGGGUCUUGUAAUUGGAAUGAGUACAAUUUAAAUCCCUUAACGAGGAACAAUUGGAGGGCAAGUCUGGUGCCAGCAGCCGCGGUAAUUCCAGCUCCAAUAGCGUAUAUUAAAGUUGUUGCAGUUAAAAAGCUCGUAGUUGAACCUUGGGCCUGGCUGGCCGGUCCGCCUCACCGCGUGCACUGGUCCGGCCGGGCCUUUCCUUCUGGGGAUCCGCAUGCCCUUUACUGGGUGUGUCGGGGAACCAGGACUUUUACUUUGAAAAAAUUAGAGUGUUCAAAGCAGGCCUUUGCUCGAAUACAUUAGCAUGGAAUAAUAGAAUAGGGACGUGAGGUUCUAUUUUUGUUGGUUUCUAGGACCGCCGUAAUGAUUAAUAGGGGAUAGUCGGGGGCAUCAGUAUUCAAUUGUCAGAGGUGAAAUUCUUGGAAUUUAUUGAAGACUAACUACUGCGAAAGCUUUUGCCAAGGAUGUUUUCAUUAAUCAGUGAACGAAAGUUAAGGGGAUCGAAGACGAUCAGAA